AUAGGGAGGCGAUGCAUGUGUGGGGGCUAUACGGAACAUCUCUGUACUUCCCUCUUGGUUUUGCUGCAAAUCUAAAACUGUUCUUAACUGUUCUAAAACCUAAAACUGUUGUAAGAAUAAUGUGAACAGCAACCUACUUGUGGAGUUUGCAAACAUAAACACAGGAUACAAGUACAGCUGGUUCCUAACUUAGAAUGGUUAGACUGAUGUUUUUUCAACUUUACAAUGAUACGAAUGUUACCGAGUCCAAGCUCCUACUGCUCAACUGCAUGACAGGCCAGUAAACCAAGAGUCAAGUUAUUGAUGCAAAGAAUAGUGACUUUAUUCAGAAAGCCAGCAGACCAUAACGAUGGUUGGACUGGUGUCCCAAAGAACCAUCUUCAGGCUUCUUUUAUACUAAAAGAGAAUGGUGUAUGGUUGGUUGGUGCAGAAUUCCUGGUGUCAGAAUUCGUGGUUCUUGCAUUUGUCCACAUAGUUCAGGUCAUGAUGUUCCUGUAAACCUCCAACAAGAUAAAUGUUAUUCCCUGUUCUGCAACUUUUUAUCUCUAUGUGAAUGGAAAAUGUUUCACCUUUAAAGGUCAGAGCCUCAGAGACUAGGCUAUCCUGUAUAUUUCAGGCUAUAGGCAACAUUCUUGUCGCCAAAGCAAUAGCAUGCAAAGGCUAAAGGAAAAGAAAUGGGUCCUAGAAAUGGAUGGAGUCAGAUUUGUACUUCCCUAUUACAGUCUUAAGUGACAGCCCUUCAUGUCAUUGGCUAAAGCAAAACUCUCUUUCAUUUUGGUAAAAUAAAACUUUGAUUUUCAUUCUUAUUUGUGUGUUUAUUUUGUCAUCUUUGUCAGUAGUCCUGGGUUGUUUGACUUCAUCUGUUUGUUUUACCUAACGUUUCUAAUAGCUUACUGUCUUCUGGGCAUCAAACUAGGCACUGAGAUCCAUCAGUUAACAAGAUGGUCAUGAUUCCUGCCCUUAUAGAACCUCACUCUGUCCUGUGUAUCACCUGAUACUGGACUGUAAGGCCAUAUACAAGUAUGGAGAGACUGAGGAGCUCAUCCAUAGUUAAGGGUACUAGUAAAAUAAAUUACUGCAUGAAACUAUGAAAACUUUAUUGGAAAUCAUUGACAUUACAGGAUUGUUAACUCUUGCCUUGGUUAAGUUACAAUCACUUUUUGUAGGAAAACAGAGUGGACAGUGUUUUUAGAGCUUUGAAAUUGUUUUUUUGUUUUUCGUCUUUGUGUUAAAAAUCUUGCUUCAUUUUCAUACAUAAUGAGAAUUUUGGCCAAUUGUCUGGUUUUAUUUUUCUAGAAGUUGGAAGAGAUUGGCUUGGCUCCAUUCUGUCCACAUUCUCCUCUGUGGUUUCUUGACAGCUGACAUCCUCAGACACUUGAUUUAGAAUUCAAGUGAGACUCAAGGGUAGAGACUGUUAAAAAGAGGGAAGCUAAUUACCUGGUCCAUGUGGGCUUCCAAUUUAUAGAACUAUGAAUAAAAUAAUACACUCAGGGAAUAGUUUGGAUAAGCAUCAUGGGAAGCAGCAAGGAUAAAGGAAAUACCCUGGGCCUGGGCAUCACAUUGACCACUUAUAUGUGAUCUUGGCCAUGUUACUUGAACUCUGUGGUUCUUGGUCUUCUUACCUGUGCAAUGUGGGUAGUACUGUUCACCACACAGUACUGUUGUAAGGAUUAAAAUGAGGCCAUUUGCAUGACGUGCUACACAUCUGUAUGUAAAGUCUUACCAUGUAUCUUAAGGGGAUUCCUGUAUAUCAUUCCUACAUAGGUGUACAUGAUCUAAUGUGCUCCAGUCUUGCAGAUGUUAACACAGUUAAUAAUUGUUAAUCAAUUGUUUCACUAGUUAGGAUAGGCUAGGUUAUGCUGCAGUACCAAGCCAUCCCUAAAUCUCAGAGGCUUUCAAAAAGCAACUCUAAAGGUUUCUUUUUUUUUCCACUUAAGUAAAGGCCACUGCAGAUCUAUAUGACUCUUCAGAAAAGCUGUCCUCCUUGGAUGACUCAGCAAGCAAGACACCUCCUAAUGGAAAUAGGAUUCAACGACACUGAAGCAGAAGGGGGUUGUGUAACUUGGCUCUGGUUAUUAGAUGCUUUGACUCAGAUAUGAAAUGCCAUAUCGGGUCACUUUGAAUUGUUACAACCAAGACAAGAGGCCAUGCCUACACUCAAUGAGCUAAAGAAAUGCACCCCUCCGAGUGCCCAAAAAGAGGACCAGAAAUUUUGGUGAGCAGUACUGGUACCUGUCCUUCUACCAUGGUGAAUGAUCUCUAACCAAGGGAGCACUGGGGUAGUACUGGCUAAAAGUUACUAGAGAAGUUAGAAUUUGAAAGCUUGCCAACUGCUUAAAGCCUUUAUGUGACUGCUGAAAAGGAUACUCUGUUUUAAAAUAACAGGGCUGUUUCUUUACUUAUAUUGCUAUUAGCAUGUGCUUUCUGUUCCCUAGUUUUCAUCUUUCUGCGCUUUUGUGACUCAGAGAAGUGGCAAUGAAUAGUACCAAGCACACAG
ensembl:lncRNA